rnacentral:rRNA from 1 species
CAGCAGCCGCGGGAAUACGUAGGUCCCGAGCGUUGUCCGGAUUUAUUGGGCGUAAAGGGAGCGCAGGCGGUUUAGUAAGUCUGAAGUUAAAGGCAUUGGCUCAACCAAUGUAUGCUUUGGAAACUGUUAGACUUGAGUGCAGAAGGGGAGAGUGGAAUUCCAUGUGUAGCGGUGAAAUGCGUAGAUAUAUGGAGGAACACCGGUGGCGAAAGCGGCUCUCUGGUCUGUCACUGACGCUGAGGCUCGAAAGCGUGGGUAGCGAACAGGAUUAGAUACCCGUGUAGUCCCUGUCUCUUAUACC